rnacentral:rRNA from 1 species
CCUACGGGAGGCAGCAGUAGGGAAUUUUCGUCAAAGGGCGCAAGCCUGAACGAGCGAUGCCGCGUGAGUGAAGAAGGCCUUCGGGUCGUAAAGCUCUGUUGCGGGGGAAAAAAGGCAGCAUCAGGAAAUGGGUGCUGACUGAUGGUGCCCCGCCAGAAAGUCACGGCUAACCACGUGCCAGCAGCCGCGGUAAUACGUAGGUGGCGAGCGUUAUCCGGAAGGAUUGGGCGUAAAGGGUGCGCAGGCGGUCCUGCAAGUCUGGAGUGAAACGCAUGAGCUCAACUCAUGCAUGGCUUUGGAAACUGGAGGACUGGAGAGCAGGAGAGGGCGGUGGAACUCCAUGUGUAGCGGUAAAAUGCGUAGAUAUAUGGAAGAACACCAGUGGCGAAGGCGGCCGCCUGGCCUGUUGCUGACGCUGAGGCACGAAAGCGUGGGGAGCAAAUAGGAUUAGAUACCCCGGUAGUC